UUAUAUAAAUAAAUUCAAUGAGGACAGAAUCACCUAGCUACCAGUACCAUGAAAUAAAUAGAGAACAUGACCCUAACAAAUAGGAUCUUGUCAGCUGCCUCCGGUAAUAAUGGCGGUGGGAACAGGGAAAGCACAUUUUUCUGAGAUUGUGACAACAGGGUCCAUUAUGCAGGCUUUGUAGGCAGCCUGAUUUUUCCUCGGAGGGAUUUGAUGGUAGAGAAGAACACCCACGUGCAAACUUCACUUUGCCCCCUUGGUUCUUCAUUUGUUCUGGGCCAUGGUUAAGAAGCUGAAUUUCCUUGGACUUCCCUUUUGAAAAUUUAGGGUGAAAUAAGAUAAGAAGCUACUGACAGAAGGAAAGGAGGCCGGGAUAAAUCUGGAAUGAUCAGUAAACUAUUUUCUGACGUGACUUUGGAUGAAGUGCCUAUAAAUUUGCUGCUUCUAGAAAAAUUACAGAAGGGACCUGGAUAAUAAAUGCCGAA
rnacentral:lncRNA from 10 species